rnacentral:rRNA from 1 species
AGCUCCAAUAGCGUAUAUUAAAGUUGUUGCAGUUAAAAAGCUCGUAGUUGGAUUUCGGAGCCGACCGGGCGGUCUGUCGAGAGACACGCACUGCACGGUGGCUCUUCCUCUCGGAGGCCCUGGCUGCCCUUAACUGGAGCGGGCAGGGGAUUCGGGACGUUUACUUUGAAAAAAUUAGAGUGUUCAAAGCAGGCUGUCACAGCCCGAAUACAUGAGCAUGGAAUAAUGGAAUAGGACCGCGGUUCUAUUUUGUUGGUUUCUACGACCGCAGUAAUGAUUAAGAGGGACAAUUGGGGGCAUCCGUAUUUCGUUGUCAGAGGUGAAAUUCUUGGAUUUACGAAAGACGAACAACUGCGAAAGCAUUUGCCAAGAGUGUUUUCAUUAAUCAAGAACGAAAGUA